rnacentral:rRNA from 1 species
CUUCGGUGUUCGAGUUGUAAUUUGAAGAUGGUAACCUUGGGUUUGGCUCUUGUCUAUGUUCCUUGGAACAGGACGUCAUAGAGGGUGAGAAUCCCGUCUGAUGAGAUGCCCAUUCCUAUGUAAGGUGCUAUCGAAGAGUCGAGUUGUUUGGGAAUGCAGCUCUAAGUGGGUGGUAAAUUCCAUCUAAAGCUAAAUAUUGGCGAGAGACCGAUAGCGAACAAGUACAGUGAUGGAAAGAUGAAAAGAACUUUGAAAAGAGAGUGAAAAAGUACGUGAAAUUGUUGAAAGGGAAGGGCAUUAGAUCAGACUUGGUGUUUUACGAUUAUCUUCUCUUCUUGAGUUGUGCACUCGUAUUUCACUGGGCCAGCAUCGAUUCGGAUGGCAAGAUAAUGGCAGUUGAAUGUGGCUUCACUUCGGUGGAGUGUUAUAGCUUCUGCUGAUAUUGCCUGUCUGGAUCGAGGGCUGCGUCUUUUGACUAGGAUGCUGGCGUAAUGAUCUAAUGCCGCC